rnacentral:rRNA from 1 species
AAUCAACGCUGGCGGCGUGCCUCAGACAUGCAAGUCGAACGAUUAAAGCUCUCUUCGGAGAGUGCAUAGAGUGGCGCACGGGUGAGUAACACGUAAGUAAUCUACCUUCGAGUGGGGAAUAACGUCCGGAAACGGACGCUAAUACCGCAUAAUGCAGCGGCAUCGUAAGAUGACAGUUGUUAAAGAUUUAUCGCUUGAAGAGGAGCUUGCGGCAGAUUAGCUAGUUAGUAAGGUAAUGGCUUACCAAGGCUACGAUCUGUAACCGGUACUUAGAGGACGGUCGGUCACACUGACACUGAAUAACGGGUCAGACUCCUACGGAGGCAGCAGUCGGGAAUUUUGGGCAAU